rnacentral:rRNA from 1 species
GACGAACGCUGGCGGCGUGCUUAACACAUGCAAGUCGAACGGAAAGGCCCUGCUUGCAGGGUACUCGAGUGGCGAACGGGUGAGUAACACGUGGGUGAUCUGCCCUGCACUUCGGGAUAAGCCUGGGAAACUGGGUCUAAUACCGGAUAGGAGCCAUUUUUAGUGUGAUGGUUGGAAAGUUUUUUCGGUGUAGGAUGAGCUCGCGGCCUAUCAGCUUGUUGGUGGGGUAAUGGCCUACCAAGGCGGCGACGGGUAGCCGGCCUGAGAGGGUGGACGGCCACAUUGGGACUGAGAUACGGCCCAGACUCCUACGGGAGGCAGAAGUGGGGAAUAUUGCACAAUGGGCGCAAGCCUGAUGCAGCGACGCCGCGUGGGGGAUGACGGCCUUCGGGUUGUAAACUGCUUUCGCUAGGGACGAAGCUUUUGUGACGGUACCUAGAUAAGAAGCACCGGCUAACUACGUG